rnacentral:lncRNA from 1 species
UAACAUGGAUUCCUAGGAGCCUCAGUUUUCGGUAGUUUCUCCAAGGCCUUCGUGACCUGAGAAAGCUCAUAAGCACAGUGGAGUCUGGCUAACGGAGCUCGAAUCCCAGCUGUCCCACUUCACAGCAACGUGACUCUGGGCGACAUCUCAGCCCUCCCGUGCCUCUAUUUCUUCGUGGGAACAAUGGUCACACUGACCUCACGGGAAUGUCGUAAGGAUUCGGGGGCGCUGCACACAGAGCCUUCAGAAUUGGGCUUGGCCUCGCAGGAAGCACUACGUGAGUGUUGACAUAAUUUUAAAAUCAACUUUAUUGAGAUACAAUUUUUUUACAACAUAGUGAUUCGACAUUAUCGAUGUAUAAUUUAUGCGCAGGAAACUGCACGCCUGUAAAUUGUGCGGUGGGAUGGGCUUUGACAGUGGUGUUCACAUGGCGGAGCACUGCCACAUCAAGAGGCAGCUUCACCUUACUGUGUUUAUUUCCACUUCGUGGUAUUGCUGUGGGAAGUCAUGGGCCUUCCAAACAGUGCUGGGCAUGUAAUACACACUCAGGAAAUGUGAGCUGUUUUUAUCAUUAUCAUUAGCUAUGAAAAGUCACUCAUUGGGAAGAGUUACCUAGAAGCUCAGACAAAAAAGGAAGCUCCAAUGUAGGGCCGGAAAACAGCUGAAGGCUCCUCUGAGAAAGUGCUCGUGUAGUCCAGCCAGGCAGCAGAAGGAGAGUGUCAUGCGUGGUCUGAUCUGCCUCCUGUUUGGGCCCCAAAGGUCUCUGAACUUGACCCCUUCCUAAAGUCAGACGCACACACGGAGGGUGAUCGCCAGGAUUCUCAGAAGCAUGCUGCUCCUUGGCCAGUCGAGGGUCUCAGAGGGGGAAAGCAGCCCCAGGGACAGGACCAGAGAGGUCAUCGUCGAGAGAGAAACCCCUUUCCUUCCGCAGCGUUGGUGGAGCUGCCAGAUCGCUGCCUCCCGUCUGCAGUCCCAGCUUCACGUUGUAACAAAAUCGUGCCAAAAAAGCCAACAGUGUCGACUCCCAGGAAAACAAACACUAGAAGUAAUUUUGUCAGGGCGGGAGCCUUGCAGAGGCUGGCUGCGCUGAUGGAUAAGGUAUCUAUUCACCUUUCAUAAAUGUCAGAUGGGAAAUAAAAAAGAAAGGAUAAUGAGGUCUCAUUUCCACAGAAGCAAGUGUGUGCCUCCAGACUAACCGCUAUACCGCUAACGAACAUGCUGUUGAGAUGCUUCCGCUGCGAUUGUCGGAGGCGCAAAGAGCCUGAGCUCAAAGGACCUGAUUUUCUUCCCCUCCUCUGCUCCUUUUAAAAUAUUUUAAAUGGCCCGAUGAUUCAACAUCUGUGCAUUCAUUCAGCACACAUCUGAAUAAUGCCCACUGUGUGCAAGGCACUCCAUCAGGGCUGGGGGGCAGCCUACCGGGCUGUUUUGUGAAGAGGCGAGGCUCUGGCGCCCAACAAGUUAGGAUUUGAAUUUUGCCCUCAUCACCUGACACGUGGCUGUAAAUGCUGCAAACCUCAACUGACUCAUGCAUCACGUAAAAUGGAGAUAACACCACCGUGUGUUGUAAGUUGUGGCUGGGGUUAAAUGAGAUAGUAUAAGUAAGGUGUCUAAUGGGGGAUAGUGGUACUUAUUAUGAAGAAGGAGCAGGUCAAGGAGGAAGAAAGCAGAGAGAGUGGAGAUGACAAAGGAGGGGAAAAUAAACAAGGAUGGAGACAAAGGAGAAUGAUGAGAUGACAUCUCUGUCGCAUUGACCUCCGUAUAUGGUGAGCAAGGUGGACAUAGACUCAAUUUACUAGGCUGGAGUUGGUGACAGAGAGAGAAAGGAAUGAGACACUUUAAAGCAGGCAACUACAUCUUACAGUGGAGUUGGAAGGCAGAGGUCGGGGGAGGAGGAGAACAGAGGACGAUCAUUUCUGGAGUCCUUGAUGGGUGGACAGACCAAAUAGGUAGAGAUGAGCAAGGAAAGGCAUUCCAGCUGGAGGAAAGGCCUGAGCAAAAGCCUGGAGACUGGAUUGUGCAGGCCGUGCUUAUGGCCGGAGGAGGAGUCGCAGCUGGCUUGGCAGGUGGGGAGCGGUGCAGGCUGUGCAGCCGCCAUUCACCUGCACUCUGGAGACCUCAAAUGCUUUGUUCGGAAGGUGGUUGGAAGUUCUGAAUGAGAAGGCAAUUCCAGAGGUAGAAAUCCAAAGUGAAAGAAAUAAUUCCAAAGUAAGGACGAGUAUUCUAUAAAGGGCGGUCAAUUUCUUUACUGUGGAGAGAGUGAUGCUCUCUUACCUCUAUAAUGCAUUUUACUUCUUUCAAAAGCAACGCUUCAUGAAUUGUUGUAGUUAAUUCCAACAAUCCUGUAGUGGAUAGAAUGGUGGCCCCCAAAAUCACAAGUUACACCCUAAUUCCAGCAAUCUGUGGAUGUGACCUUAGUCGGAACAAAAGAGUCUUUGCAGAAGUAAGUAAAUUAAGGAUUUUGAGAUUAGAUCGUCCUGGGUUAUACAGGUGGGCCCUAAAUCCAAUGACAAGUGUCCUUUUAAGAGACGUACAGAGGCGAGACAGACAGGGAGAAGAGAAGGCCACGCGAAGGAGGAGGGAUGCAGCCACAAGCCAAGGAAUGCCUGGAGCCGCCAGAAGCUGGAAGCGGCAAGGAAGGAUUGUCCCCAAGAGCCUUCGGAGGGAGUGCGGCCCUGCCAACACCUGGGUUUCAGACUCGCGGCCUCCAAACCAGUAAGAUCAUACAUUUCUGUAGUUUUCAGCCACCAAAUUUGUGGUAAUUUGUUAGGAAGCUCCAGCAAACCUUAGAUUAUAAUACAGACCCUUUGAGAAGGGCAGAGGAGGGAUCCUAUAUUCCUCUGUGGCCAGUGAGAGAGAGAGGCCGGCUUUCACGGAGGUCCAGUAAAGCGGGAGCCACUUGGACCCAGGGAUCUUUUCAGUGCAUUGGCGUGCCCGAGUGUAGCCCAUGGGAUCAUGAGAGGUUAGGAAGGCUGGUGAGCAAACCCCGAGGUCAUCCCUGUGAGUGGCUGAGAGAAGAAGACUUCUUGGAGAAGUGGGGCUUGAAAGAAGAGGUGGAGGGCGGGCUGGAAGGACAUUCGGAAGCUGGACUAGGACAAGCCAGGGCAGAAGGGUGGUGGACGCAGCCGGAACCCAGCAAAUGGCAGGAGGUGUGAUCAGAAAAGACCUUGAACUGUAGGCUAAGAAACUUGUUCUCUGGCCUGUCACAAAGCCGUUUACCAAAGGAUUCUGUGGGUUAGCACAGGAUUCAUGCAUUCUACAUUAACUGAGUUGUCAUUCACUAGCCUUGUGAAGGACCACCAGACACCUGCUGAUCGAGCAAAGCUAAGUUUACCAGACCUACUGCGGUCACGGACACCACCCCCUGGCAGGAUCUCAGUAUAGGGACAGUCGGAGAAGGUACUGCUAGGGCUUUGGGGUCAAGGCUGGGUGAUCUCAAGGUGAGUUUUACAAGGGAGGACACUGGUGGGAACUGGGUAGUUUAUAACAAAGUAGUUUUGGAUUGGUGGGUAGAGUGAGGCAAGGGUCUGGAAGCAACCUCGAUGAGCAAGCUGUUAGUCUGAAAAACUAAGCGUGUUAGUGGGUUCACAGGAGCAGGUUUACCCUGGAGCUAGAAGCUAAGUUAUUUUUGCUUGGUCCCAGUACUGUUUAGCAUAGGCAGAGGAAAGCACGGUUGUUUAAGUUCUCACAACAAAUGUUAACUGAGUGAGGAUCCACCAUGUCACAGGCACUGCUCUAGGCCUGUGUGUGUGCAUGCGUACGUGUGUAUAUAUCUCUAUAUAUGUACGUGCAUGUAUGUAUGUGUGUGUCUCUCUCUACAGAUGUGUGUAUAUAUACUUCUAUGUAUAUGUAUGUUUAGCCCCACCUUCACAAAGCUUGAAUUCCGAUGGGAGUGUCGGGGAGGACAGAAAAUAGAAUACUCAAUAAAUACAUACAUACAGAACACUGCAUUUCAGAAAGUGCUAAGUUUUAAGGGAAAAAAAUAAAGCAGGAAAAGAAGAUAACUGUGAUGGGGCAAGAGGAAGGAACAACGGUUUUCAUGCAUUGUGGGAAAAAUUGUCCUGGGCCCGCACAGGCUUGGAGAGCGCUGGGUUACACAGUCAGAAAGACUCCAUCACCCCCAGAACGUCUAGAAGUCUUAUGUUCGCCAGCGUUUAUUAAGAGACUCCAAGAAGAGAAUGAAACUUGCAGCAUUUCCUAACUGGAUUUGGCUUCUUAGCCUCACCCUCACUGAACCUGUCCAGGGACCUUUAUAGCCUUGGGAAUAUGUUUAAGAAAGACCCCUACAGGAAAGGAGGCCCCCCCUGCUUGAAGAAACUGAAAGCCGGCUGGGGAGGUGUCGGCGUGGUGAUCCGAGGCUUGGGCUGGUGUGGAAAGCAGGCGUGGAGAAGCGAUGGAGCCGUCAGAGACUGGGGUGGUGAGGCUGGGAGAGGGCGCCAAGCCAUGAGCUUCUUCCCAUCAGUGCCGCCAGAGCACGGGGACCACUCCACCCGGGAGAUGAAGAAACGCAUCUCAAUUUUUUUUCUUUCUGUUCCUGUCACAGAAUUGGGCUUAAUAUUUGUCGAACGAAUAGAGAGAUGUAGUAGAUUGGAGAAGGAAACUGGGUGGAUGGCAUUAAAAUUUAACCAGUUUAUGGCAAACGAAGGGGUUGCACAUUUUAAAAUCCCCAAUUGCAAAUCUGCAGACCCUUCUUCUUCCCUUCACUGCCUUCCCUCUCCAAGCAGGAGUUCCAGCUUAGUCUACUAUUCUUUCUAAGUCCCUUAGGGGUGUCUGUGUACCUGUGAAUCCAGCCCCAUGAUGCCUGAGGGGGAUGACAACUUUGUUGAGGCUCUCCAGACUGACCCCACAACCCCUGCACCCCAGCCUCGCCCGGCAGCAGCCCACCUGCUGGACGCUGCUGCUCAAACACUGGGUUGAAUAGCAGAUGGAGCCGGGACCUGGGUGGCUGCUUCCUCCCCAAACUGCCCUGGCCAGCUCCAGCCACUAGGACACGUCACAGCUUCCAGAAAAAGCUCCUUCACCUUUGCAAGCCCAC